UACAGAGGUUCCAAGCGUUGUUCGGAUUCACUGGGCGUAAAGGGUGCGUAGGCGGUCAGAUAAGUCUGAUGUGAAAUCUUCGAGCUCAACUCGGAAACUGCAUCGGAAACUAUCUGGCUAGAGGAUUGGAGGGGAGACUGGAAUUCUCGGUGUAGCAGUGAAAUGCGUAGAUAUCGAGAGGAACACCAGUGGCGAAGGCGAGUCUCUGGACAAUUCCUGACGCUGAGGCACGAAAGCUAGGGGAGCAAACAGG
rnacentral:rRNA from 1 species